rnacentral:rRNA from 1 species
GACGAACGCUGGCGGCGUGCUUAACACAUGCAAGUCGAACGGGUCUGCCCUGUUUUUUGCGGGGUGGGUCAGUGGCGAACGGGUGAGUAACACGUGAGUAACCUGCCCCUCACUUCUGGAUAACCGCUUGAAAGGGUGGCUAAUACGGGGUGUUCUGGCUGUGCCGCAUGGUGUGGCUGGGAAAGAUUCACUUUUGUGGUGUUUUGGUGGGGGAUGGGCUCGCGGCCUAUCAGCUUGUUGGUGGGGUGAUGGCCUGCCAAGGCUUUGACGGGUAGCCGGCCUGAGAGGGUGGGCGGUCACACUGGGACUGAGAUACGGCCCAGACUCCUGCGGGAGGCAGCAGUGGGGGGUAUUGCACAAUGGGCGGAAGCCUGAUGCAGCGACGUCGCGUGAGGGGUGGAGGCCUUCGGGUUGUGAACCUCUUUCGCCGGUGAAGAAGGUCCUGCUCUUUGUGGUGGGGUUGACGGUAGCCGGGUUAUGAAGCGCCGGCUAACUACGU